CCAGAGAUGGAUUGGUGCUUCGGGAACUCUGAGACAGGUGCUGCAUGGCUGUCGUCAGCUCGUGUUGUGAAAUGUUGGGUUAAGUCCCGCAACGAGCGCAACCCUUAUCCUUUGUUGCCAGCGGUCCGGCCGGGAACUCAAAGGAGACUGCCAGUGAUAAACUGGAGGAAGGUGGGGAUGACGUCAAGUCAUCAUGGCCCUUACGAGUAGGGCUACACACGUGCUACAAUGGCGCAUACAAAGAGAAGCGACCUCGCGAGAGCAAGCGGACCUCAUAAAGUGCGUCGUAGUCCGGAUGGAGUUGCAACUCGACUCCAUGAAGUCGGAAUCGCUAGUAAUCGUAGAUCAGAAUGCUACGGUGAAUACGUUCCCGGGCCUUGUACACACCGCCCGUCACACCAUGGGAGUGGGUUGCAAAAGAAGUAGGUAGCUUAACUUCGGGAGGGCGCUUACCACUUUGUGAUUCAUGACUGGGGUG
rnacentral:rRNA from 1 species